rnacentral:rRNA from 1 species
AACGAACGCUGGCGGCAUGCCUAACACAUGCAAGUCGAACGGGAUCCUAGCUUGCUAGGUGAGAGUGGCGGACGGGUGAGUAACACGUGGGAAUCUGCCUUUUGGUUCGGGAUAACCGCGGGAAACUGCGGCUAAUACCGAAUGCCCUCGAGAGAGGAAAGAUUUAUCGCCAGAAGAGGAGCCCGCGUCCGAUUAGGUAGUUGGUGGGGUAAAGCCUACCAAGCCGACGAUCGGGUAGCUGGUCUGAGAGGAUGAUCAGCCACACUGGACUGAGAUACGGCCCAGACUCCUACGGGAGGCAGCAGUGGGGAAUAUUGGACAAUAGGGGCAACCUGAUCCAGCAAU